rnacentral:rRNA from 1 species
GACGAGCGGCGGACGGGUGAGUAAUGCCUGGGAAUAUGCCUUGAUGUGGGGGAUAACCAUUGGAAACGAUGGCUAAUACCGCAUAAUGCCUACGGGCCAAAGAGGGGGAUCUUCGGACCUCUCGCGUCAAGAUUAGCCCAGGUGGGAUUAGCUAGUUGGUGAGGUAAUGGCUCACCAAGGCGACGAUCCCUAGCUGGUCUGAGAGGAUGAUCAGCCACACUGGAACUGAGACACGGUCCAGACUCCUACGGGAGGCAGCAGUGGGGAAUAUUGCACAAUGGGCGCAAGCCUGAUGCAGCCAUGCCGCGUGUGUGAAGAAGGCCUUCGGGUUGUAAAGCACUUUCAGUCGUGAGGAAGGUAGUUGCGUUAAUAGCGUAAUUAUUUGACGUUAGCGACAGAAGAAGCACCGGCUAACUCCGUGCCAGCAGCCGCGGUAAUACGGAGGGUGCGAGCGUUAAUCGGAAUUACUGGGCGUAAAGCGCAUGCAGGUGGUUUGUUAAGUCAGAUGUGAAAGCCCGGGGCUCAACCUCGGAAUUGCAUUUGAAACUGGCAGACUAGAGUACUGUAGAGGGGGGUAGAAUUUCAGGUGUAGCGGUGAAAUGCGUAGAGAUCUGAAGGAAUACCGGUGGCGAAAGGCGGCCCCCUGGACAGAUACUGACACUCAGAUGCGAAAGCGUGGGGAGCAAACAGGAUUAGAUACCCUGGUAGUCCACGCCGUAAACGAUGUCUACUUGGAGGUUGUGGCCUUGAGCCGUGGCUUUCGGAGCUAACGCGUUAAGUAGACCGCCUGGGGAGUACGGUCGCAAGAUUAAAACUCAAAUGAAUUGACGGGGGCCCGCACAAGCGGUGGAGCAUGUGGUUUAAUUCGAUGCAACGCGAAGAACCUUACCUACUCUUGACAUCCAGAGAAGCCAGCGGAGACGCAGGUGUGCCUUCGGGAACUCUGAGACAGGUGCUGCAUGGCUGUCGUCAGCUCGUGUUGUGAAAUGUUGGGUUAAGUCCCGCAACGAGCGCAACCCUUAUCCUUGUUUGCCAGCGAGUAAUGUCGGGAACUCCAGGGAGACUGCCGGUGAUAAACCGGAGGAAGGUGGGGACGACGUCAAGUCAUCAUGGCCCUUACGAGUAGGGCUACACACGUGCUACAAUGGCGCAUACAGAGGGCUGCCAACCAGCGAUGGUGAGCGAAUCCCAAAAAGUGCGUCGUAGUCCGGAUUGGAGUCUGCAACUCGACUCCAUGAAGUCGGAAUCGCUAGUAAUCGUGGAUCAGAAUGCCACGGUGAAUACGUUCCCGGGCCUUGUACACACCGCCCGUCACACCAUGGGAGUGGGCUGCAAAAGAAGUGGGUGUUUAACCUUUCGGGGAGGACGCU